rnacentral:rRNA from 1 species
GAUGAACGCUGGCGGCGUGCCUAAUACAUGCAAGUCGAGCGAAGCGGGGACGGGUGAGUAACACGUGGAUAACCUCCUAUAAGACUGGGAUAACUUCGGGAAACCGGAGCUAAACCGGAUCCUUAUAGAUGGAUCCGCGCUGCAUUAGCUAGUUGGUAAGGUAACGGCUUACCAAGGCAACGAUGCAUAGCCGACCUGAGAGGGUGAUGCGGCACACUGGAACUGAGAAACGGUCCCGACUCCUACGGGAGGCAGCAGGUGGGAAUCUUCCGCAAUGGGCGAAAGCCUGACCGAGCCACGCCGCGUGAGUGAAGAAGGUUUUCUGAUCGUAAAACCCUGUUAUUUGGGAAGCGGUACCUAAUCAAAAAGCCACGGCUAACUACGUGCCAGCAGCCGCGGUAAUAC